rnacentral:rRNA from 1 species
AGCUCCAAUAGCGUAUAUUAAAGUUGUUGUGGUUAAAAAGCUCGUAGUUGGAUUUCGGCGGGUAGUGGUUGGUUUGAAUUGAUUUAACACUGACUUUUUUACCCGUGUGUUUUGCCAGAAUCUUUCGGGUGAUCUUUACCGAUUGUCCGUUGGAACUGGCAGGUUUUCUUUGAAAAAAUUAGAGUGCUCAAAGCAAGCUUACUGCUUGAAUAGUUGCGCAUGGAAUAAUAGAAUAGGAAGUCGUUUCUAUUUUGUUGGUUUUCGGAAAUCGACUUAAUGAUUAAUAGGGAUAGUCGGGGGCAAACGACAGAGGUGAAAUUCUUGGACCGUUUGAAGACGAACUAAGGCGAAAGCAUUUGCCAAGAAUGUUUUCA